GACGAACGCUGGCGGCGUGCUUAACACAUGCAAGUCGAACGAAACACCUUAUUUGAUUUUCUUCGGAACUGAAGAUUUGGUGAUUGAGUGGCGGACGGGUGAGUAACGCGUGGGUAACCUGCCCUGUACAGGGGGAUAACAGUCAGAAAUGACUGCUAAUACCGCAUAAGACGACAGCACCGCAUGGUGCAGGGGUAAAAACUCCGGUGGUACAGGAUGGACCCGCGUCUGAUUAGCUGGUUGGUGAGGUAACGGCUCACCAAGGCGACGAUCAGUAGCCGGCUUGAGAGCGUGAACGGCCACAUUGGGACUGAGACACGGCCCAAACUCCUACGGGAGGCAGCAGUGGGGAAUAUUGCACAAUGGGGGAAAACCUGAUGCAGCGACGCCGCGUGAGUGAAGAAGUAUUUCGGUAUGUAAAGCUCUAUCAGCAGGGAAGAAAAUGACGGUACCUGACUAAGAAGCCCCGGCUAACUACGUG
rnacentral:rRNA from 1 species